rnacentral:misc_RNA from 1 species
CGCGGCGCAUUAGCUAGUUGGUGGGGUAAUGGCCUACCAAGGCGACGAUGCGUAGCCGACCUGAGAGGGUGACCGGCCACACUGGGACUGAGACACGGCCCAGACUCCUACGGGAGGCAGCAGUGGGACAGUUGGCUCAGAACGAACGCUGGCGGCGUGCUUAACACAUGCAAGUCGAACGGACGCUUUGGGAAACUGGAGCGUUAGUGGCAAACGGGUGAGUAACACGUGGGUGACCUACCUCGGAGUGGGGCCGC